ACGAUUGACGGAGCGAAGCGACGUCAAAGCGUAUACAAAGUCGAGUCGGUUUAAGGAUACGUUCGUUGGGUAGGGGAGCGUUCUGUAAGCCUGCGAAGGUGGCCUGUGAGGGUUGCUGGAGGUAUCAGAAGUGCGAAUGCUGACAUAAGUAACGAUAAAGCGGGUGAAAAGCCCGCUCGCCGGAAGACCAAGGGUUCCUGUCCAACGUUAAUCGGGGCAGGGUGAGUCGACCCCUAAGGCGAGGCCGAAAGGCGUAGUCGAUGGGAAACGGGUUAAUAUUCCCGUACUUGGUGUUACUGCGAAGGGGGGACGGAGAAGGCUAUGUUGGCUGGGCGACGGUUGUCCCGGUUUAAGCGUGUAGGUGUGUGUUCCAGGUAAAUCCGGUUCACUUUAACACUGAGGCGUGACGACGAGGCACUACGGUGCUGAAGCAACAAAUGCCCUGCUUCCAGGAAAAGCCUCUAAGCAUCAGGUAACAUCAAAUCGUACCCCAAACCGACACAGGUGGUCAGGUAGAGAAUACCAAGGCGCUUGAGAGAACUCGGGUGAAGGAACUAGGCAAAAUGGUGCCGUAACUUCGGGAGAAGGCACGCUGACACGUAGGUGAAGUGAUUUACUCAUGGAGCUGAAGUCAGUCGAAGAUACCAGCUGGCUGCAACUGUUUAUUAAAAACACAGCACUGUGCAAACACGAAAGUGGACGUAUACGGUGUGACGCCUGCCCGGUGCCGGAAGGUUAAUUGAUGGGGUCAGCGCAAGCGAAGCUCCUGAUCGAAGCCCCGGUAAACGGCGGCCGUAACUAUAACGGUCCUAAGGUAGCGAAAUUCCUUGUCGGGUAAGUUCCGACCUGCACGAAUGGCGUAAUGAUGGCCAGGCUGUCUCCACCCGAGACUCAGUGAAAUUGAACUCGCUGUGAAGAUGCAGUGUACCCGCGGCAAGACGGAAAGACCCCGUGAACCUUUACUAUAGCUUGACACUGAACAUUGAGCCUUGAUGUGUAGGAUAGGUGGGAGGCUUUGAAGUGUGGACGCCAGUCUGCAUGGAGCCGACCUUGAAAUACCACCCUUUAAUGUUUGAUGUUCUAACGUGGACCCGUAA
rnacentral:rRNA from 1 species